UACGUAGGGGGCAAGCGUUGUCCGGAAUCAUUGGGCGUAAAGCGCGCGUAGGCGGCCCGGUAAGUCCGCUGUAAAAGUCCAGGGCUCAACCCUGGAAAGCCGGUGGAUACUGUCGGGCUAGAGUCCGGAAGAGGCGAGUGGAAUUCCUGGUGUAGCGGUGGAAUGCGCAGAUAUCAGGAGGAACACCGAUGGCGAAGGCAGCUCGCUGGGACGGUACUGACACUCAGAGACGAAAGCUAGGGGAGCAAAUGGG
rnacentral:rRNA from 1 species